AGUGAUACUUUUAACGGCCGCGGUACUCUGACCGUGCUAAGGUAGCAUAAUCAAUUGACUUUUAAAUGAAGUCUGGAAUGAACGGGAUAACGGAAUUUAGCUGUCUCAACUUUUUUAAUUUGAAUUUACUAACUAAGUGAAAAGGCUUAGAAAAGAUAAAAGACGAGAAGACCCUAAGAGUUUAAACAUUUUGUUGGGGCGACAGAGGAUCAUUUAUAACAUCCUUUUUUAAUGUGACGGCUUUAUCAUGAAAAGAUAAACUACCUUAGGGAUAACAGCAUAAUUCUUUUGAGUUUGUGACCUCGAUGUUGGACUAGGAAGCCUUUAGGCUAGCUGCCUAAACAGGGGAUUCUGUUCGAAUUUUUACUCCUACAUGAUCUGAGUUCAAA
rnacentral:rRNA from 1 species